rnacentral:lncRNA from 1 species
UUGUAGAUUAAAAUAAAUCAUACCAUUCCAACAGUCAAAAAUUGUUUAACCAUUUUCUCCGUCAAUAUUUUAUUUGGCUUCCAUUUGUGCAUUCGUGGACUUUGUAAUGUUUUAUAUCUACGGCGUCCAAAUUUUUGUCCAAUCUCAGAAAAUGUUUCAUAUAUCCAACACUGCAAUAUAAGUAAAAAUAAAUAUUAGAAUUCUUACACAAAUAAAUUAUACACAAUAAAUAAAUAAAACAAUAGGAGAAAAAAAUACCUGGAAUGCAAGUGGAUAUCCACGCAAUGAAACCUUACAAUCUGUUUGCUCAUUCCGUUGCAUCCUUUGUACUCUUUCAACAUGUGAUUCUUGUAAUGAGUUUAACAAAACAAAAUAUGCAUUACGACCCCAUAAAUACACAAGAAAGUCAUUAAGCUGAUCAACCAUCCCAAGUAUUCUAUAAUCAAUGUAUCUUCCAGUUGACUUUAAAACACACUCUACCAACAUAACUAAUCCCAACUUAAAUUUAUCAUCUCGAUCUUCACACAUGUGGAAUACUGCAGAAAGCAUUCUCAUACUAAUUCUUUUUAUACCAUUAAAGUACUGAUUUCUAAGCCGAGCAUUUUUAUCUAAUCGAACCCUAACUUCAUUAACAGCUACUUCAUGACAAGGUAAUCCAAUAAUGAGACAAAAUUCUUGCAUGCCAAAACGGGCAACAUUGUUAUCUAAUCGAACCCUAACUUCAUUAUUUUUACCACAAUUGACGAGUCUCAUUAUAAAUUCAUGUACCAACUUACUACUAAAUUGUUCUUCCUCUGCUCUAUAGAUAGUUCCAUAAAUAAAUCCAUAGAAAUUACUACACAUCAAAGAAGCUUGUUGAUCCACAAAAUCUUUAAGAUAUUGAUGAUUUGCAAAUUGAGUAAUAGUAGCAGAAAACCAUUGAUUUGGAGACAAUAUGUAUUCUAGUGACAUCUGCAAAAAUUAUUCAAAAGCCAUUCAUUAAUAAUAAAAAUUAUUUAUAUACAAAUCUAACUUAAUCUCAAUCAAUUAAUUCAAGAACACGAACCAGGAGAAAAAUCUCCCCACUGCACGAAAAUCGCCCAACAUGAAUGAUAUUUCAUUCACUACAACUCUACAUAAAUACCAUUUCAACUUCUUAUUUAGCUAAUUUUUAUCAAUCAUGGACAAUCUAUUGUGUGAUUUUAAUGUUGUAUUUGUAUUAAAUGAAGUCAUGAAAACAAGUGCAACGAAGACAAAAGAACAUAAAAAAAGGAAAAAGCGCCAUAGGAGAAGCGGAAGCCCAGGCUUUGUGGCGCCUGAGGUCUUCAUGCAACAUGUCUCCGCACUACGCGGAAUAAGAUCUCCACACUGCACAACAACCAAGGUGAAGUUAGGUCGUCGCGCAGCGUAGAGGCAAAUCUAGCAAUUACCUUCUCAUACAGCCAAUUUAGUGGACAACAGCAACGACGAUAGAGAUUAGCUCACUUCUACGAUUCAAGAAGGUGAGGAAAUAAUAUUUGGGGAUUUAGCAAGUGAACGGUGAUGCUAAGGAUUUGCUUACCUAUAUCAACAUUUGUUAAAAGUGUUAUUUUACAUUAAUUAUGAAACAGACCACGUUUAAAGGCAAUGAUUUUUUCAAUUAUUGUUUUCGUCAAAUACUAAAAAAAAUUAAGUCAAUUUUAAAUUGAAUAAAUUCAAAAAUUUGUCAACUUCUUAUCCAAAUCUGUCAAAAGUAAAUCUAGUACAAAAAGAAGAAACAUCUUCAAAACUUUUAAAUUUUAAUACGAUAAAAUUAGUUAAUCACCAAAAUUCCAUUUUUUCUUUAAUUAAUAACAAUUGGCAUGUCAUUUACAUUUCCUUCUAUUCUCUCCCAUUUUCUUCUCUCCCAUUUUAUCCAUUUUCUUCCAUUCUAUUAGCCCGCCCAUAAAAACAAUAAACCCAAUAUCUACUUUCCUAAAACACUCCCAAACCCUACUACCACUAAAAUUUUUCCAUCAACUUUCAAUAUUUUCAAAUCCGCAAAACAUUAAAAUCCUUCCAAUUUAAAGAAAAAACAAUCUGAUAUUGCCAAAAAAAAAAAAAA